rnacentral:rRNA from 1 species
CACGGGGGGAGCAAGCGUUGUUCGGAAUCACUGGGCGUAAAAGGCGUGUAGGCGGUCAGGUUAGUGAGAUGUGAAAUGCCCCGGCUCACCCGGGGACCUGCAUCUCAAACUGCCUGGCUUGAGUAUGGGAGAGGAUGAGGGAAUUCCUGGUGUAGCGGUGAAAUGCGUAGAUAUCAGGAGGAACACCGGUGGCGAAAGCGCUCAUCUGGCCCAAUACUGACGCUGAGGCGCGAAAGCUAGGGGAGCAAACGGG